UAUCAAUAAGCGGAGGAAAAG
rnacentral:snRNA from 1 species